UCGGGAAUUUUGGGCAAUGGGCGAAAGCCUGACCCAGCAACGCCGCGUGAAGGAUGAAGUAUUUCGGUAUGUAAACUUCGAAAGAAUAGGAAGAAUAAAUGACGGUACUAUUUAUAAGGUCCGGCUAACUACGUGCCAGCAGCCGCGGUAAUACGUAGGGACCAAGCGUUGUUCGGAUUUACUGGGCGUAAAGGGCGCGUAGGCGGCAAUUCAAGUCAUCUGUGAAAUCUCCGGGCUUAACUCGGAACGGUCAGAUGAUACUGCUUUGCUAGAGUGCAGAAGGGGCAAUCGGAAUUCUUGGUGUAGCGGUGAAAUGCGUAGAUAUCAAGAGGAACACCUGAGGCGAAGGCGAGUUGCUAGGCUGACACUGACGCUGAGGUACGAAAGCUAGGGGAGCGAACGGGAUUAGAUACCCAAGUAGUCCCUGAGCGGGCUGGCAAGGCGCAU
rnacentral:rRNA from 1 species